CUCUGGUCGCACUUCUGUGCUGCUCCGCCCUUGCUAGUAACUAUGGUUACAAUGGGUACGGACACGGCAAUGGCUACGGACACGGCAAUGGCUACAACAGCUAUCCAGCAUACCGAGGAUACGGCUACAACAGUCACCCUGGCUACGGUUACGGCCACGCUGGUUACGGCAGCAACGGUCACCCAGGUUACGGUUACAAUGGUUACGGUUACAACACCUACCCCAAAUACUACAACAGAGGACACCCCAGUUACGGUUACAACAAUAAAGUUUACGGAUAUGGCAACCGAGGUUACUAUCACUGAACUGAUGACGUCACAGAGGCGGCCAUCUAGAUGGAAGUGUAGUCAAACCACUCAGUGUUUGUAAAUAAAAUAUUUUGUACGGUU
rnacentral:lncRNA from 1 species